UUCUCGAUGUUUCAGCAUUGACAGCCAUUGGGCGAUACAGCAUGACAAUAGAGACCGUGGAUGUGGGGUGGUGUAAAGAAAUUACUGAUCAAGGAGCCACCCUGAUUGCACAAAGCAGCAAAUCUCUGAGAUAUCUGGGGCUGAUGAGAUGCGAUAAAGUGAAUGAAGUCACAGUUGAACAGCUGGUGCAGCAGUACCCCCACAUUACCUUCAGCACUGUCCUGCAGGACUGCAAGAGGACCUUGGAGAGAGCUUAUCAGAUGGGCUGGACCCCCAACAUGUCGGCUGCCUCCUCCUAAUGUGCAUGCCCAUACAUGGGUUCACUUUGGUCGUUCAGCAGGGGCAGAGAAGUGUAGAUUUGAAAUGGGUGAUCUCUUGGAAAGGUUUUAACUAUCACCUGUCUGUGUCUGUACCAGUGUGUAUAUUUGUGUCUUGUUUGCCUACUGCAUAGCAUAAGUGCACUUGUUAUUUGUUCCCAGGUGAGCUGGCUUUUUUUCUUAAAAAUUGAAGAUUACAGAAGCCACAAAUCUUAGUUUUUAAGUGUAAAGGCUUAGUUCUUUAAACAGUAUUUUUAAUAGAAAGUCAAGGAAUUGGAUUAUUACUUUGAGCAUCUGAUUUCUGCCAUUUUUUAAAUGCCCCCCCAAAAAAGAAGUAUUUCUUUUUUGAUGAAUGGGGAUUGUGCACUUCUACAAGUCAGGCUAGAAGGGAUGGUUUAUUAAUUGGAAGCCUGUGAAUUAGUGAUCUUCAAAAUUCCAAGCACAUGUGCACGUAUAUUUAUACUCUUGUGUACCUACCCUGCAGGUACACAAACACAUUAGGGUGGUUUCUUUGUAAACCACUUCCUGACAGUGGAGACUUCCUCCAGGCUACUGAGGGAACACAUCAUCUGCUCUGGCCCCACCUAACUCAGUGUGUCCAUGAUGGGCAGCUGUCUAUCUGGUGGGUGAUUUAGGGACUAGAAAGAAUAAAGCCUUUUGUAAAUUUUUUAUAUUGAUGAAACAAUCUGAACUCCCUUGGCCAGCUCACAGAAGUUAAUUACUCUACACAUACAUUCUGUUGAGUACUAAAUAUUUUAGUUAGUUUUACAUUAACAUUGUGUUAGCUUUUAUUUUGUGGAUAGCGAGUGAUUGGAAUAUAUCUUAAUGAUAUUUGGAGCUAAUCUGAGCAUUAUCCACAAUGAAGCCACCAAUGUGAUUAAUGGUGUGUAGUAUUUUAAUAGAUCUACAGAUCAUUUCAUUAUUUUGUUAAUUUUGAUAAUUAUGAAAGUAUGUUUCUGAUAUUUAAUAGACUGCUCAUGAGUGAAAUAUAAGAAAACAAUGUUUCUAUUAAAAUUUUUUCUUUUGCUUUGCUUUAGGUUUUAGAACAGGUUUUUUGAUAUGUGCAUGUUAACUUUUUUUUUAAUAGUUUCUAUGCUACUGCAAAGAUCUAUUGCUAGCUACUGUAUGAGUUAAAAAGAAAAAUUAGAAAAUCUGUUCAUUAAGAUUCUGUUUACACUUGCCAGAAGUAUUUUUUAGUUGAAGAUUGCCAGCUUUCAGUUAAGACAGUAUCUAUCAGUAAAUGAAUAUACAUUUGAUUUCACACAUCUUUACAAUUAAUUCAUUGUAGGGACUCAGGCUCCAAUAAACUUUCCUGUGUCUGGAUUUAUAAUCAAGACUACAGGGAGCCUUUUUAAGCUAAAGAGUGAUUAUCUUUCAUAAUAGAAAUAAAAAUAAAGCACUAAUUUGUGAAUUUGUUAUUUAUUCCUUCCUGAUAUGGACAUGUUAUUUUGUCUUUAACAGAAAUAACUGAGGUUUGAGUUCAUUUCUUAUAUAUCUGAAUAUUGUUAAAAUGUAAGAAACAAAAGACAGCCUUACAUAUAAGUGUCAUUCAUGUAUUUGUACUGACUUCUUUUUGGUAAACAGCUGUUUCUUUUGAUUAUGUCAACAUAUUUCUGAUGUGGCAAUUUUUGUUUUAGUUCCAAUCACUUCAGAAAAUGUAGUCAGUAAACACUAAGAAUAUUUUCCCACGGCUAAAUAGAUUACUAAUUUAAUUUGAAGGGAGUAAAAUUUGUGUAACAAAAGACUUUAUCAUUAAUAAACUAUAUUUCUUCUUACACAGUGAACUAUGUCAUUUUCAUACCCAUUUCUCCACCACUGAAAAAUCUUAUUUCACAACAUUUAAAUUGAAUUUUAACCCAAAACUAAUUUAUAAGACCGUAUGUAUAGUAAUAGUAGCUUCAGUGAAUAAAAAAUGUUUAAUUUUAUAUAUGUCACACUAUAUUUUAAAUAAUUUUAAAAGGGACAAAAGGGAAAACAAUCUAUGGCAUAGAUGGUAUAACUUCAGUUCAAAGUUGUAAUAAUCUUUGGAACAUUACAGUUGGGUUGUCAAAUGGUUUCACAGCAUAUAAUUGAUUUUUAAAAUGUCUCAUUGUUUUAAAGUAGCACUAAAACAUGCUUUAGCUUGGGGUGGGGUGGGGUGGGGUGGGGACUGCACUUAUUCUCUAAAAUGUCAGCUAAUUCAGAAAGCCUGAUGCAACAUAACCUGGAAAACUGCUUUGGUACAUUUGUAGAAAUCUGCAGAAAUAUCGUAUCUAGCCUCAAAGCAUUAAUCUCAAAAAACAGCCAGGAAAAGCAUCACCCUGAGUGAUUCUGUGAUGGUUGUUGAAUGUGUUCUCAUUAGAUGCUUUAAAAUGAGGCUUGAAAUAAUUUUCUAGGCAAUAUAAUUUUUUGGUUUUGUUUUCUGUUUGCUUAGAAUGUCAUAAAUACAUGUGAACAUGUUUAAAGCAGGGCUUUUUAUCCUCUCCAAAAUGUCAACAGUAUUUUCAGAAUAAAACCUAUGAAAUACAUUGCUGUAGUGGAAAACUCGUUCUUUGUCUUUAAUGUCUUAGUGGAUAAAGAAAAUCACCCAGUUUGUAGUUUCUAUAUUUCUGUGAAUCUUUUGACCUUGCAAUGGGUUGCAAUAAAAGAGAAACAAAACACUGUAUCUUUUGUUUUAUUUUAGAAACAAUAAAUGGCCUCUCCAUUACUGAGUAUGACGCA